UUUAAGUGUAGUUGUGGGUUUUCAUGUUUAAUGUUUGACCGUUCGUAUUAUUUAAAUUUUUUAUGAUUAGUAUUUUGAUUGUUAUUAGAUGAUAAAAUAUGAGUAUUACUUUAUGUGUAACUUAUUUUUAAUUUUUUUUUCAAAUAAUAUGGAUGGUCAAACGUUAGACACGAAAACUCACGACACUUAAA
rfam:Oryza glumipatula chromosome 11, whole genome shotgun sequence.